rnacentral:rRNA from 1 species
GACGAACGCUGGCGGCGUGCUUAACACAUGCAAGUCGAACGGAAAGGCCCUGCUUUUGUGGGGUGCUCGAGUGGCGAACGGGUGAGUAACACGUGAGUAACCUGCCCCUGACUUUGGGAUAACUUCAGGAAACUGGGGCUAAUACCGGAUAGGAGCUCCUGCUGCAUGGUGGGGGUUGGAAAGUUUCGGCGGUUGGGGAUGGACUCGCGGCUUAUCAGCUUGUUGGUGGGGUAGUGGCUUACCAAGGCUUUGACGGGUAGCCGGCCUGAGAGGGUGACCGGCUACAUUGGGACUGAGAUACGGCCCAGACUCCUACGGGAGGCAGCAGUGGGGAAUAUUGCACAAUGGGCGGAAGCCUGAUGCAGCAACGCCGCGUGCGGGAUGACGGCCUUCGGGUUGUAAACCGCUUUCGCCUGUGACGAAGCGUGAGUGACGGUAAUGGGUAAAGAAGCACCGGCUAACUACGUG